rnacentral:lncRNA from 1 species
UGAUAUUCUAGUAGAAAUAUUGGUAUAUGUUAAAGGUUUGGAUUCCUUGGUUCACCCGCUUAGGAGGUUAAGUAUGGGUUCCACUCACGACUCGUUUUGGGUAGUGGCACGAUGAUAGAUACAUCACAAUAAAAUAAUCUAGUUUACUCAAUAAACAAACAAAUAGCAACAUGUGCAAAUUGUGCUACCCCAACCAACCGACAAUAGAACAUAUAUCAGGUGUGAUAUCUAAGACAACCUUAAAUACUUCAUAGCAGACAUGUACUCAAGUCAAUUGAUAAUAUCAACGAGGCAUGUUGCAUGAUAUAAUCAAGAGAUAUCUCAUAUUUGGUAUGGUGUCUGAUCAAGAUGAAUCACAUAUAUCGCACAAUUACAAUGAGUACAAUUACACUAGUAAACCACGAGCAAUCAAGACAAAUUCAUUGUGUGAGAUUCACAAUAAAAUAUCAUUCACAUUUAUUCCUUUAAUUUAUUUCCUGAACAUGCAUUAUGUAUAGUUUACUUAAUCCUUAUGGCAUACCGUCAAUUCACCUCAAUAAGAAUAUUAAAAGGUUUACAAUCAUGAACUAGUCCGUCAUAGUUAGUCAUAGGAUAAUACUUGCUUCCACAGUACAUUUCUGCCCUAUUAGCAAUAAUCAACACUCUUUAAUCAACCAAACCCUGCAUCAAAAGGCCGAGGUAUUAAAUCUACAGUCAAUCUACAAGAAUAUUAUGAAUUAAAGACAGAUUUAAGUUCUAACUACUCAGUAAACUCUACACUAGAUCAUGAGCUAUUACUCAUUUUGUGAAAUUUUAGCUUGUUCUUGAUUUAAAAUAAUAACAAAAGUACCAAAUAAAUCUCAAUUAACCUAAACAUUCUCAUAUUAUAACUUAAUCCCAAACUCCAGGUCAACCUUGUGAUUUUCCCAUCCAAUAUAGGACUUUCCCAACAUUAAUGCACCUAGACCUACUAAUCUCAUCGUUACACUAGUGAAUUAUGGUAAACGAAUCAAGAACAAAUGUUUUAUAAAGAAGUCAAGGUCUUACACCUCAAAAUCCUCAUAAACUUAGAAUUUUCCCCACCUUUGGAUGAACCCAAGCCAUCCUCUAGGACCACAAUUACUGAAUCGAAGGCCAACAAAUCAAAGUACUAAAUCAGAAAAUGAAUUACUUAGUAAGAGAAAGGUUCCUAAUGAAAAUUAUCUGAAAAUCUCCCAUAGUCGCUCUUGUUUUCCCCCAAAAUGUUUUUGUAUGAUUAUUAAGGGUUUUGGGGAUUUC